CGGACGGGUGAGUAAUGUAUGGGGAUCUGCCUGAUGGCGGGGGAUAACUACUGGAAACGGUAGCUAAUACCGCAUAACGUCGCAAGACCAAAGAGGGGGACCUUAGGGCCUCUUGCCAUCGGAUGUGCCCAGAUGGGAUUAGCUAGUAGGUAAGGUAACGGCUUACCUAGGCGACGAUCCCUAGCUGGUCUGAGAGGAUGAUCAGCCACACUGGGACUGAGACACGGCCCAG
rnacentral:rRNA from 1 species